AUUGAACGCUGGCGGCAGGCCUAACACAUGCAAGUCGAACGAGUGGCGGACGGGUGAGUAAUGUCUGGGAAACUGCCCGAUGGAGGGGGAUAACUACUGGAAACGGUGGCUAAUACCGCAUACCAUCGGAUGUACCCAUAUGGGAUUAGCUUGUUGGUGGGGUAAAGGCUCACCAAGGCGACGAUCCCUAGCUGGUCUGAGAGGAUGACCAGCCACACUGGAACUGAGACACGGUCCAGACUCCUACGGGAGGCAGCAGUGGGGAAUAGUGCACAAUGGGCGCAAGCCUGAUGCAGCCAUGCCGCGUGUAUGAAGAAGGCCUUCGGGUUGUAAAGUACUUUCAGCGGGGAGGCGUUACCCGCAGAAGAAGCACCGGCUAACUCCGUGCCAGCAGCCGCGGUAAUAC
rnacentral:rRNA from 1 species